rnacentral:rRNA from 1 species
AUUGAACGCUGGCGGCAUGCCUUACACAUGCAAGUCGAACGGUAACGGGCCUUCGGGUGCCGACGAGUGGCGAACGGGUGAGUAAUACAUCGGAACGUGCCCGAUCGUGGGGGAUAACGAGGCGAAAGCUUUGCUAAUACCGCAUACGAUCUACGGAUGAAAGCAGGGGACCGCAAGGCCUUGCGCGGACGGAGCGGCCGAUGGCAGAUUAGGUAGUUGGUGGGAUAAAAGCUUACCAAGCCGACGAUCUGUAGCUGGUCUGAGAGGAUGAUCAGCCACACCGGGACUGAGACACGGCCCAGACUCCUACGGGAGGCAGCAGUGGGGAAUUUUGGACAAUGGGCGCAAGCCUGAUCCAGCCAUGCCGCGUGCAGGAUGAAGGCCUUCGGGUUGUAAACUGCUUUUGUUCGGAACGAAAAGCCUUCUUUUAAUACAGGAGGGUCAUGACGGUACCGUAAGAAUAAGCACCGGCUAACUACGUG